rnacentral:lncRNA from 1 species
CAAAAAACUAAGUAGAAGUUGAUUGAUUGAUUCUUUGAUUGAAACCAUUGUUCCAAGGUACCUCAAAGGAGUGAUUAAGUAUGCGGAGUGGAGGGAGAUGAGAUGAAUCUAAGAAGUAAACAUUUGUGAAGCAUCUCCAUUCUGUCUGGAAUAAUGCGUGAAGUGGAGGAGAUAGUGGAACAUCUAACAAGCUUAACGUUGAUGUACUAGAUUAGACAUACUUGCUAUGUCCCUGCUAAUCCACCAUGAAGGUGCAGCUUCCAUCCUCUUAAAGCUCAGCUUACUAAAUGAUUUGUCUGACCAAGGAGUGAAGUCCAGGUGGAAGGCCUGGAGGCAGGGGAGGAGCACCUAGCAGAGAAUAAUGUGCCAGCCAAGCCUCCAGUGUCCUCGGAACAACCUACAGAUGCCUCCCUGAGUAAUCUUCAUCUGUAUAUAAUUCGGAAACAGGGCAGAUUCCCUGGAUUUGAAAAUGGGAAGCAGAGCCCAUCCGUCUUCUCCUGAUGGUUAAACAGGCUAUUAUUAGCAGGCCCCAUGAUUUAAUAGGCCUGGGAUGGAAAGGCACAUGUUGAUAAUUAAACACUCCAGAGUUCC